rfam:Cricetulus griseus cell line CHO-K1, whole genome shotgun sequence.
GCCCGGCUAGCUCAGUCAGUAGAGCAAGGGACUCUUAAUCCCAGGGGUGUGGGUUUGUGCCCCACAUUGGGCG